rfam:Sus scrofa isolate TJ Tabasco breed Duroc chromosome 9, whole genome shotgun sequence.
UAUAAGGAUUUUCUAAAAUCCACCUUAUUGAGAUAGAGAAACAAGUU